rnacentral:misc_RNA from 1 species
AGCAGCCGCGGUAAUUCCAGCUCCAAUAGCGUAUAUUAAAGUUGUUGCAGUUAAAAAGCUCGUAGUUGAAUUUCGGGGUUAGCAGGUCGGUCGUGCCAUCGGUAUGAACUGGUCUCGCUGAUCCCUCCCUCUUGACGAACUGUGAUGCCAUUAAUUUGGUGUCGCAGGGAAUCAGGACUGUUACUUUGAAAAAUUAGAGUGUUUAAAGCAGGCUCACGCUUGAAUACAUUAGCAUGGAAUAAUGAAAUAGGACGUUUGAUCCUAUUUUGUUGGCUUCUAGGAUUGACGUAAUGAUUAAUAGGGAUAGUUGGGGGCAUUAGUAUUCAAUUGUCAGAGGUGAAAUUCUUGGAUUUAUUGAAGACUAACUACUGCGAAAGCAUUUGCCAAGGAUGUUUUCAUUAAUCAAGAACGAAAGUUAGGGGAUCGAAGACGAUCAGAUACCGUCGUAGUCUUAACCAUAAACUAUGCCGACUAGGGAUCGGAUGAUGUUAAUUUUUAAUGA